rnacentral:misc_RNA from 1 species
UUCAUAAGAAGCAUCAAGUCCCCAUAGGAAUGAAAUGUUUGUGCAACAUUAAGAGCAGUUGCAAUGGCAUGACCAGUCCUCUUAGCGAAAUGAGCAGGAUUUUCUUUACAAUUGUCAAUAGGCUGAACUAUAGGUAGGUACUCUACCUCCAUGAAAUUGUGAAAUUGCGUGAACAUCCUAAACAUCAGCUUUGCCAAUGAAAUAUGCCCCCAUGAUUGGUCAAAGUGAACAUGGGGAUAGCGGACAAUCACUGGUUGGAUUGCAUAACCAGGAAUGAAUGCACCAAGUUGGAAAGAAAUAAUGACCUUGCCAUUAGUUGUUGUUCCCUCUGGAAACAAUAGCACACGAGGAAAUCUAUCGCAAGAAGCCUUUCUCUUUAUUUCAUUAACCGCUUGUUUCCUUGAUGACUGUNGAGAACCUAUUGACAUAUAUUACCUGCAUUGCUCUGAUAAUAGUCCCAACAAACGGUAUAGAAUCAUGUGACUCGGCUGCAACAAUAGUAGGAAAUAAUUCAUAAAAGUAAAAGAUAGGGUCGAUGUAUGAUACAUGAUUUGAUACGACAAUUGGAGCAAUAUCCCUAGGAGCAGGCUUUCCUUUUCUUUUUAUCCACUGGUAGCCGAAAGCGAAGAGAAUAAUACGGGAACAAAUCCUAGUGACCCACAUUAACCUAGUGCGCCAUCUGGGCAUAGGAUUAUGCUUAUCCUUCCAUCCCUGGAGAGCUAAUUUGGUAGCAAUAAACCCUACCAACAAACAAACCCCAAAAAGCACCGAUCGCACCAAAGCAAUCGGUAAGCAAACCAAGAUCUUUAGCGACUCAUAAGCUCCUUCAAUAUUGGGCGUAUUGUUCCGGAAUGGAUCAAUCGUGGACGGUGCGUGCACGGUCAGCCCAUCUGACCCGAGAAACUCGAACGGGUUGCGAUAAUUCUGGUUUAGUUGUGAAAUGUGAUUGUUGUUAUUGCUGCUGUUGUGGUGGUGAUUAUGACAUUGGGUUGAGGAGGAUCGUUGACCGGAGUCGUUAUCGCGAACUGUAAGGACAAGAUGGGGUUGAUCGGAGGGUUGAGGCGGGAUAAGCGGGGAGGAGAGAUCAUAGUCCGCCAUUGACAUAGUUUGAAUGGAAGGUAAAGAGGAGGAUCAGGGGAUAUGGUAAAGAGAAGGGAAGAAUGCUUUUCCACUAU